rnacentral:lncRNA from 1 species
GGGGGGGGGGGGGGUUUGGAACAAAACGAAGGUGAGAAUGCUUAACUUCUAACGGAAACAUUAAGAGGUGCAACAGACUGACAACACAACAGUUGGGGAUCAGGUUAACUAGGCAAAUUUUACUACGCUUUUUCCUUGGCUGGUUCCAAACCAGGAAUAGAGAUGAAGUAAAUUGACUAGAACAACAAAAUAAGCCAUGUUCCCAAUAAACCUGGAGCAGGCUACCUGAAUAGUUUGUGGGUACUCCUUUCAGUUCAUUGCUAACCUUUGGUCUUGCGAAAUUCAUAGAUGUUAUCUUGCAAAAAUAACAAGCAUUCAUAGAUCUUACUGACAGAAUUGGAAAAACAUUUAAGAUGCAUUACUUUUAGAUAUGAUCUAGUUUUAACCUUUCUUAAUAGCACAUGGAAAGUGCAUUACAAAUAUUUGAUGAACUAUCUUGACUAGCCAAUCCAUGCUAUAAGGCAGCUUCAAAAAUUGUAGCUAGCACGAGGAAAAUAUGAUACUGAGUACGUUAAUCUCUUUAAAUUAUGUUCCCAGAAAAAUUUUACUAUAAUACACACUUGUACGCUGUCCUAAUAUUACCAAGAUGAUAUAUUCAGGGGGGAACCAAUGGCAUCUUAUAUUGAAAAUCCAACAUAUAUUAUUCCUGUGUGCUCAGGAAAUGACCAACAAAUUCUGCACCAUUCCAAUUACCGCAGAGAAUUUUCUUUUUCAUAUUGCACAAGAGUUGACAUGACUAUAAAAUUGGUGAUUGAUAAGAGAGAUGGCUGCUAGAAUCUGUAAUAGGUGGAAGCCAUAUUGUCAUCUAUAAACCCGGACAUGAGAAUUUUUUUAUUUCUUUUCUAGGAGGAAGAGGGGGAAGGGGGAUUUGACUUUACAGUUAAGAAUAACGUUUAUUAGGAAGCUUUGCCAAUGUUUUACUGUACCCAGUUCGAAGCCUUAAAGGAAGAGGUGCACUAGAUUGACAACUAAUAAGAUGUGUUCCCUAUAAAUAUAUGUUCAACUAUAUGAAUCCCUUAAUACAUUUUGUUGGGGGCGUCCCUUACAAGAGACAUGUUGCAUCUGAUAUUAUGUGCAUGAAAAGAGGGUAAGCGCAGGCCUUUGAGUCAUACCCCAUAAGUAACAUACAUUGACACUAGAAGAAAUUGAAAGCAAGGGUUCUUAGGCUCCAGCGGACAUGGUUGGAUUAACAAGUUAGUCCAAAAUAAUAGAAUUAUAAUAGGAAUUUCGAAUACAAGGAAACCUAUAAGAAAAUCCUUAGAGAAGUGAAGAAAAUUACCAUAACCUGCAAAAAAGAAGUGAGUGGAAAGGAGAGAAGGUGAAAGAAUCAGGAAAAUAGGAUAUAAAAUGUGGUGCAUGGACAAGGAAAAGAAAGAAAUAGUCGACUACUGCUUUUAGUACUUACUGUCACGGAUCGCAAGGUCAUGACUUGAAACAUGGCAUGACACGGGAAUGUCAUGGCACAAGGUGGGAAAAUGAGAUAGACUU